AGGCUAUCACUGGCUCGGCCAGCAUUUAUUGCUGCGUUUACCCAGUGGGCAGUUAAGAAUCAACCACGUUGCUAUAGGUCUGGAGUCCCAUGCAGACCAGACCAGAUACCAGUGAUCAGUGCCAAAGCCCCAUUGCCUGUGGAGAGGGUGAUGUUUGAUUUCCCUGUCCAGCUGCAGUUCAUGUGGUGAAGGUGCUCCCACAAUGUGGUUGGGUGGACAUUCAGAUGGUAAUCUCAGUAAUUGUAACGCCAAACUGUGACAAAAUUACUCAAUUCAUCAGGAGCUGGAUAUUCACAUU